rnacentral:rRNA from 1 species
UACGUAGGGUGCGAGCGUUGUCCGGAAUUAUUGGGCGUAAAGAGCUCGUAGGCGGUCUGUCGCGUCGGUCGUGAAAACUUGGGGCUUAACCCUGAGCUUGCGGUCGAUACGGGCAUGACUGGAGUUCGGCAGGGGAGACUGGAAUUCCUGGUGUAGCGGUGAAAUGCGCAGAUAUCAGGAGGAACACCAAUAGCGAAGGCAGCUCGCUGGGACGUUACUGACGCUGAGGCGCGAAAGCGUGGGGAGCAAACAGG